AUUCCAGCUCCAAUAGCGUAUAUUAAAGUUGUUGCGGUUAAAAAGCUCGUAGUUGGAUCUCGGCAGCCAGGGGGCGGUUCGCUCCAAAGCGUGACUGCCCCAUUUGGCUGUGUGAUUGGCGGAGGUUCCGGGGUGCUCUUCGUUGAGUGUCCCGGUGCGCCGUCAGGUUUACUUUGAAAAAAUUAGAGUGCUCAAAGCAGGCUUUUCAGGCUUGAAUAUUCGUGCAUGGAAUAGUAGAAUAGGAAGUCGUUUCUAUUUUGUUGGGUUUCGGAAAUCGACUUAAUGAUUAAUAGGGACAGUCGGGGGCAUUUGUAUUCAAACGACAGAGGUGAAAUUCUUGGACCGUUUGAAGACAAACUACUGCGAAAGCAUUUGCCAAGAAUGUUUUCAUUAAUCAAGAACGAAAGUUAGAGGUUCGAAGGCGAUCAGAUACCGCCCUAGUUCUAACCAUAAACGAUGCCAGCUAGCGAUCCGCUGAGUUGCAUUUGUAGGCUCUGCGGGAAGCUUUCGGGAAACCAAAGCGUUUGGGUUCCGGGGGAAGUAUGGUUGCAAAGCUGAAACUUAAAGGGAUUGACGGAAGGGCACCACCAGGAGUGGAGCCUGCGGCUUAAUUUGACUCAACACGGGAAAUCUCACCAGGCCCGGACACUGGAAGGAUUGACAGAUUGAGAGCUC
rnacentral:rRNA from 1 species